UCCCCGACAGCUGAGUUGGUAAAGAAUCUGCCUGCAAUGCAGGAGACCCCGGUUCGAUUCCUGGUUGGGAAG
rnacentral:tRNA from 1 species